GACGAACGCUGGCGGCGUGCCUAAUACAUGCAAGUUGAACGAGAGCGACCGGUGCUUGCACUGGUCAAUCUAGUGGCGAACGGGUGAGUAACACGUGGGUAACCUGCUCAUCAGAGGGGGAUAACAUCCGGAAACGGAUGCUAAAACCGCAUAGGUCUUCGAGCCGCAUGGCUUGAAGAGGAAAAGAGGCGCAAGCUUCUGCUGAUGGAUGGACCCGCGGUGCAUUAGCUAGUUGGUGAGGUAACGGCUCACCAAGGCCGUGAUGCAUAGCCGACCUGAGAGGGUGAUCGGCCACAGUGGGACUGAGACACGGCCCAAACUCCUACGGGAGGCAGCAGUAGGGAAUCUUCCGCAAUGGACGCAAGUCUGACGGAGCAACGCCGCGUGAGUGAAGAAGGUUUUCGGAUCGUAAAACUCUGUUGUUAGAGAAGAACAAGUGCUAGAGUAACUGUUAGCGCCUUGACGGUAUCUAACCAGAAAGCCACGGCUAACUACGUG
rnacentral:rRNA from 1 species